rnacentral:rRNA from 1 species
GGGCGAAGUGAAAGCGGCAAGAGCUCAGAUUUGAAAUCUCACCUAGUGUCGCGAGUUGUAAAUUGCAGGUUGGAGUCUCGGGUUAGACGUGUGUGCAAGUCCCUUGGAACAGGGUGCCACUGAGGGUGAGAGCCCCGUAUCGUGCAUGUCGACACCUGUGAGGCCCUUCUGACGAGUCGAGUUGUUUGGGAAUGCAGCUCUAAGUGGGUGGUAAAUUCCAUCUAAGGCUAAAUAUUGGCGAGAGACCGAUAGCGAACAAGUACUGUGAAGGAAAGAUGAAAAGCACUUUGAAAAGAGAGUGAAACAGCACGUGAAAUUGUUGAAAGGGAAGGGUAUUGGGCUCGACAUGGGAUUUACGCAUCGUUGCCUCUCGUGGGCGGCGCUCUGGGUUUUUCCUGGGCCAGCAUCGGUUUUCGUUGCAGGAUAAGGACAAUUGGAAUGUGGCUCCUCGGAGUGUUAUAGCCUUUUGUAGAUGCUGCG